UGCUGCUGCUGCUGCUGAUGAUGAUGAUGAUGAUGAUGAUGAUGAUGAUGAUGAUCAUCAUCAUCAUCAUCAUCAUCGUCAUCAUCAUCAUCAUUA
rnacentral:pre_miRNA from 1 species